UAAGGAGCUCCAGCGGAGUCCUCAGUUCUUGAGCCGGGAGUUUCCCCCCAAAACGCUGGGGGAGGAGGAAGUAAUUUUCUUCCACCCAUUUCCCUGAAGGGUGGAUGUGUUCUCUCUCCGUCUCCCAAGAGCUGCAGCUGCAACUAUUAACACACACAAACAAGUUCCAGCACCUUGAAGGGUCUGUUGUGCCUAAACGGUGCUGAAUGAAACAGCAGUUAUUGGGAUGGCGAUGGAGAUCAAGGCGGAGACUCUCUCACAGGCAGACCCUAAAAUAGUGAAUCGCCUGUGGUGGAAUGUAUCCCAAGACUGUGACCACCACAACACUUGUGAGAUUUGGAAGGAGCAGGAGAAGCAGAAGCCCUCGAUCAAAAUUGAGGACAUCAAGGGGUUGGAAGAUUUCACGGCGCCCGAAGAAAACCUUGCACAAGAGGAUGAAAAGCCAUGCGUUCAUCAGCACCCGGGACUCGUUACACAUGAGACGAUCUGCACAGAAGAGAGCCCCUUUAGGUGCGACGCGUGUGGGAAAUGCUUUGGGGAUAAUUCCCAUCUGAUCAGGCAUCAGAGAAUCCACACCGGGGAGAAACCGUACCAAUGCGGCGACUGUGGGAAAAGCUUCAAUCAGAACUCACACCUCCUCCUCCACAGGAAGGUCCACUCGGGGGAGAAGCCCUGCCACUGCGAAGAUUGCGGGAAAAGUUUUGUGACCAUUUGGGCUCUCAUCAAACACCAGAAAAUCCACAUGGAGGAGAAGCCCUUUCGGUGUGCGCAGUGCGGAAAGACUUUCCGCCAGAAUUCGCACCUGGUGAUCCACGAGAGGAUCCACUCGGGGGAAAAGCCUUGCCCUUGCCCCGAAUGUGGUAAAUGCUUUGGAGACACGUCGGCCCUUAUCAAACAUCAGAGAACCCACUCGGGAGAGAAGCCCUACACCUGCCCACAUUGCGAACGAGGCUUUGGCCAGAACUCUCACCUCCUUCAGCAUCUGAAGAUGCACACGGGGGAGAAAGGCUACUGCUGCGGCGAAUGCGACAAAAGCUUCAGCCAGAAGGCUCAACUGAUUGUUCACCAGAGAGUCCACUCGGGGGAGAAGCCAUAUAAAUGCUCCCACUGCGGCAGGUCUUUCAAUCGCAGCUCCAACCUUAUUUCACACGAACGAACCCACAGCGGAGAAAAACCUUACAAAUGCCCCGAUUGUGGGAAAUGCUUCAGUAGGAGCUCCAAUGUCCUUGUGCAUCAGAGAAUCCACAACGGGGAGAAACCCUUCAAGUGUCCUUCCUGUGGGAAGAGUUUCCGGCGUAACUCUCACCUGAUGGUCCAUCAGAGACUCCAUCACUGAGGCUUUCCCAAGGGAUCUGUGUGCACAUGUGUCUACGUAUCUCUCGGUAUAUCUGCUGUGGUCCAUUCAACAGAGCUGAACUCUUCUUUCCAGGAUCCUGCAGGGAACACGCUCUCCCCUGGUUAUCUGAAGUCCUAGUAAGGAUGGUUCUAGGCAUGGCUACUAGAGCUCUUGACAGCAUGAAAGAAGACAGCAACGUGUUUGAGCCCCUCCUGGCUGAUGGAGACUACAGUAAGCUCAUACCUAUACAGAGAACUUCGUACUGGGAGAAAUUUUGGGGAAUCCUGCCACGAAGCUCUGCAGCAUCAUGGCUUGACUAUGAGAAGAACCUAGAACAUGGUGUGUGUGGUUUCUCCCAUAAGUCCACUAUGACUGAAGCUACUGGACCUCCGGUCCAAAGGAGAACUUUGAUUUUGAUUCUGUCUCUUCUCACUACUCUUGCCCUUCUUAUCUUUGUGGGGCUUCUAUUGUGUUUCUUGUACAAUUCUCCCCUGUCGAGACAGCAAUCUCCAGUUGAAGCUGGGGAGAAUGUAACAGCGGCCAUCUUGGUUGCACCGAAAAACCUAACAGAUGCAACUCUGCUGGAAGCCAAGAUGCAAGAACCACCUGGGGGAGCCAUGAGCAAAUGCUUGGGUGAAGCCAUUUCAGAGUUUUCUGUGGAGCCAAACAUGGUCAAGAAGAAUGCCAGGAUGAUCCUUUGGUGUAAUGGAUCAAGGCAAGAGUUCCUGUCAGGAAAAGGAGAAAACCGUAUUACAGUGCUCUGGAUUGAUGGCAAGGUGCGUUACAUGCUCGACGAAGCCAGCUCGGAAGUCCAUACAGCAAGGCUCGGACGCCGCACGCUGCCGCUGAAUAUCACCAGCAUUUUGCGUGUCCUCCACGAUCUGGCCUCCCACAAUGGCUCAGAGGAGCUGCAGAGAUGCCUCAAGUUGGCUUCAAAGAAAUUUCCCAAGGAGCCAAAGAGCGUACGGGACAAUGCCAAACUGGAGGUGUCAUGCGGAGGGGCGUUUCUGUCCUUCAUCUCUGCUGAGGGGCAGAACAAGAUUAAUGUGUACAGAGAAGGUGCAGAUGGGGAGGUUCAGUUUCAGGUUCAAGCAACAGGAUUGGCUUGGGUGGACAGGUUAGUGUGGAAGAUAGUUUCGUGGUUCUGAGGAGUCAAAUAUAUCAUUCUAAAGCAUCCCUCUGCUAUGGAUCUAAAUACGCAUAGUCCUCAGGAUCGCAUCAUUCCAAUAUCGCAUCCAGCACUUCUUAAUCGCAUAGUUAAUAAAUAAGGAAUUAUUUACAAGUACAGUCAAUGCUCUUGUUCAGGGGAGGGGGAACGUCUUAUUGGCUGAACAACAAUGCCUAAUUCAUCAUAAUGUCUAGCAUGGAAGAAUGGUUAACGGCCCCAAAUUUGCAUGGCAAUCUUUUUCCAGUGCCCAUGUGCUCCACUUUCAGUAACUUGUUCUUCUGCCCUUUAUUUAGUUUUUUCUUAAAUAAACUUUUAAAUAAAGUUUUGAUUCUCUUACUAUUUUUUAAAUUUUAUUUAAAAGUAUUGUAAGCCGCCUUUAGGGAUGGAAAGCUAAUAUUAUUAAAUACAACUUUAAGCUUAUUUUUUCUUCAGCCUGGGAUAAAUUCCUGCAUUGAGCAGGGGGUUGGACUCGAUGGCCUUAUAGGCCCCUUCCAACUCUACUAUUCUAUGAUUCUAUGAUAUGACAAAAUAUAUAUUAGGGCAAUAAGACGGGGUUCAACACCAACCACUAUUUUCCUCUCACCCCCUCCCCCUUUGUUUACCACGUAGCCUCAUGAAGAGUUUCCAUAACCUGAAAGUUUGCAUUUUAUUUUGUGAUAUUUUGCUUGGUCUAAUAAAGCU